GGGAUGUAUGUUUGUUAAGGAUACAUUCUUACUUGUUUCUUGUUGAGGAUUGGUGUCCAUGGAGAAUUUGGCAGAGUCUGGAUCAGCAGCAGGCAUCGUUCAGCAGAAGCAGAAGCAUCAGAGUAUGCAGGGGUUGCAGGUCAAGAGAUGGGUUUGCUGAAGGAACACAUGAAGAUCAGAUGAAUUGGUAGGAGAGGGAUGAGAUGGGGACAGCUGAGAGGUAAGCUGAUCCAGUUGUGAAGACGGUGCUCCAGGGUCAUUGCGACUGAUCGCCAAGAAGGGGUCACGAAGGAAUUUUUCUCGUAGCGCUAAUUGGCCGAAAAGUGCUAGUUUUCGCCUUCCUCUGGAGUACCAUUAUCUGUGGUGGUCAAAGGCACUGAGUGAUUCAGCUGCGGCUCGGCAGUGCCGCUCUGAGGGCAUGAGUUGGUUGAAGUGCAGGCCUACCUUUAGUGAGUCACUAGUGUACAUCAGACUUUGACUGCACGGUCUUCUCUGAUGCAUGCAAGAGACUGGUUAGCGACAUUUAUGCACAACGAGGGAGCAGGGGGAUGGGCUUAAAAAAGAGAUCACUGAGUGCGCGCGGCCCUAUGAUCCCUGCUCAAAUUUUUUCAUGGUAAAAUUUUUUUGGGCAUUGCGCCCACAUUGGUUUUUUGGAGACACAAUAGUUUUUGUGUUUGGAAAAUAAGAGCCGCAGCUGGGGUCAGGGUGUACCUAUAUAUUGUUUUUAUGGUUUCAAUUAAUAAAAGCCUGUGACCUCCACAGAAUUUGCCACA